CUUUUUGCUCACCCCACCUGGUACUCCAUGUCGUAGCUGGGCAGGAUGAUCCGCCCGUGCUUCCACUCGCCGCCCUGGUCCUCGCGGAUGACCCACAGCAGCUUGCUCUCCUGGCUGGCUUCCCGCACCACCUGCAGCGCCACCCCGCGGCCGCCUGUGGCCUGCAUUUACUGACUGUACUGCUGAUUUUACCUUGUUUUUAAAAGGACUUCAGGCUAUUUUCCAUGGAUUUCAGAAGUUAUCCAGUGACGGAGAAUGAGACAGCUAUAAAGAUACCAGCCACUGAACAUUCCAUCAAGGGAUCCCAGAAAAGACACAUCCCUCCAUUACUUGCUUCUUGGUUCAUACCAAAACCAGGGAACUAAAGUAUCAGCAAGGGCCCCUGGAGGUUGCUCUCAUGUGAAUGUCCAAAGCACCAGAGCAGUGUUGUCCAAUACAUUCUGUGAUGAUGCCGUGUAUACAGUGACGUGCCCUGUCUAUGCACUGACCAAUACAGGGUAGCUACUGUGCCCUUGGAAUGUGGCUGGUGAGACAACAGGACCGAAGUUUUGGCUGUAAUCAUUUUAAUUAAUUAAAAUUGCCACACAUGGC
rnacentral:antisense_RNA from 1 species